rnacentral:rRNA from 1 species
AUGUGCGAGUACACAUGGGACUUGAAAGACCCUCAACGGCACACUAACAUUCAGUUAACUGAUGCUGAAAUCACUGAAGCUGUCAAAAAGAUACUGGAUGAAUCAGUGGCUGUCUGUAGCAAAACAGGGCUAAGUCCCUUCUACGUUUCAAAUAAACCGCCAGAUGGUGACAACCCAUUUUGGAAGAACAAGGCUCGGGAUAAACCGGCCAAGAUCCCUCGACCCAAGACAAAGGUCAUCAAAAAGCCUGCCAAGAAGAAAGCAGCUGAGUCCACAGAGCUGAACAUCGACGAGGAUCUUGACAACUCGGAAUCAGAGGUAGAACUUGAUUCUCUUGGUUCAUUUUUCAUACACCUCAUUGAAAAUGACCAUUAUCAGGAUGACGCUGAAGCUAGCCGGGUUGAUGAUGUAGAGGUAAUUAUUCUUUCCUCCAGUUCCGAUCCUUUGCCAUCACAAAAAACCCGUCAAGCAAACUGGAAAGUAAUUUUUUCACACCCUCUAGCUUAUCUGGAUCCAAACUUUCUUUUGAUGAAACAAUAG